rnacentral:rRNA from 1 species
UGGGGAAUAUUGCACAAUGGGGGAAACCCGUGAUGCAGCGACGCCGCGUGAGCGAAGAAGUAUUUCGGUAUGUAAAGCUCUAUCAGCAGGGAAGAAAAAAUGACGGUACCUGACUAAGAAGCACCGGCUAAAUACGUGCC